GAUGAAGAACGUAGCGAAAUGCGAUAAGUAAUGUGAAUUGCAGAAUUCAGUGAAUCAUCGAAUCUUUGAACGCACAUUGCGCCCUCUGGUAUUCCGGGGGCAUGCCUGUUCGAGCGUCAUUACAACCCUCAAGCUUUGCUUGGUAUUGGACAUUGCCAGUUUCUGGCAGGUCUUAAAAUCAGUGGCGGUGCCAUUUGGCUUCAAGCGUAGUAAUUCUUCUCGCUUUGGAGAUCCAAGUGGUUACUUGCCAAUAACCCCCAAUUUUUUCAGGUUGACCUCGGAUCAGGUAGGGAUACCCGCUGAACUUAAGCAUAUCAAUAAGCGGAGGA
rnacentral:misc_RNA from 1 species